rnacentral:rRNA from 1 species
CAAUAGCGUAUAUUAAAGUUGUUGCAGUUAAAAAGCUCGUAGUUGGAUUUCGGGGCAGCCUGGCUGGUCCGCCGCAAGGCGAGUACUGGUCAGCCGCCCUUCCUCUCGAAAGCCCCGACUGCUCUUUAUUGUAGUGGUCGGGUAGUUCGGGACGUUUACUUUGAAAAAAUUAGAGUGUUCAAGGCAGGCCUACGCCUGAAUACAUUAGCAUGGAAUAAUGGAAGAGGACCUCGGUCCUAUUUUGUUGGUUUCCAGGACCGAAGUAAUGAUUAAGAGGGACAGUUGGGGGCAUUCGUAUUUAAUUGUCAGAGGUGAAAUUCUCGGAUUUAUGAAAGACGAACAACUGCGAAAGCAUUUGCCAAGGAUGUUUUCAUUAA